rnacentral:rRNA from 1 species
UACGAAGGGGGCUAGCGUUGUUCGGAAUUACUGGGCGUAAAGCGCACGUAGGCGGAUACUUAAGUCAGGGUGAAAUCCCGGGGCUCAACCCCGGAACUGCCUUUGAUACUGGGUAUCUCGAGUCCGGAAGAGGUGAGUGGAAUUCCGAGUGUAGAGGUGAAAUUCGUAGAUAUUCGGAGGAACACCAGUGGCGAAGGCGGCUCACUGGUCCGGUACUGACGCUGAGGUGCGAAAAGCGUGGGGAGCAAACAGGG